GGGGAAUUUUCCGCAAUGGGCGAAAGCCUGACGGAGCAAGACCGCGUGAGGGAGGAAGGCCUUUGGGUUGUAAACCUCUUUUGUCAGGGAAGAACAAAAUGACGGUACCUGACGAAUCAGCCUCGGCUAACUCCGUGCCAGCAGCCGCGGUAAUACGGAGGAGGCAAGCGUUAUCCGGAAUUAUUGGGCGUAAAGCGUCAGUAGGUGGCCAAGUAAGUCUGCUGUCAAAGACCACAGCUUAACUGUGGAAAGGCAGUGGAAACUGCGGGGCUAGAGUGCGGUAGGGGUAGAGGGAAUUCCAGGUGUAGCGGUGAAAUGCGUAGAGAUCUGGAAGAACACCGGUGGCGAAAGCGCUCUACUGGGCCGUAACUGACACUGAGGGACGAAAGCUAGGGGAGCGAAAGGGAUUAGAUACCCC
rnacentral:rRNA from 1 species